CUCACUAGCAUAAAUGUUUCGCAAAAUUCGUAUAGUACUUUGUAACAUGCCAUUCGGCAACGUCUUUCUUCAAAUAUUUUUAAUAUUCCUUUGUUCACGUAUUGUGGCACAGUAGUCUUUUCGAGUUUUUGAAAAAAAUUGUUAUCGAGAAAUUCAAUAAAACCUCGAAAGUGAUUUGAAUUCCUCCUCUACUCAUCUACACUCCAAGUAAAACUGCCAGGUUGGGAGUUUCCACCACAAAGGAUCCAAUCAUCAGACUACGACUUCCACUUAUUCCAACAUCUAGAAAUCCAGUUGAGAGCUGUAGCCAUCCCGAAUUUCCAUAGAUAAGUCUCAGCCUUAUCUUUAAUAUAUAAAUGAGUCUGAGUUGUGUUUUAAUUUAUAACUGGUUUUCGUUGUACUCUUUCGGAUACGCAGUUAAUGCGAAUGUAUUAUUUUUCAAAUAAAUUUAUUUGUUGCUGA